CCUACGGGGGGCAGCAGUGGGGAAUAUUGCACAAUGGGGGGAACCCUGAUGCAGCGACGCCGCGUGAGUGAAGAAGUAUUUCGGUAUGUAAAGCUCUAUCAGCAGGGAAGAAGAUGACGGUACCUGACUAAGAAGCCCCGGCUAACUACGUGCCAGCAGCCGCGGUAAUACGUAGGGGGCAAGCGUUAUCCGGAUUUACUGGGUGUAAAGGGAGCGUAGACGGCAGGGCAAGUCUGGAGUGAAAGCCCGGGGCCCAACCCCGGGACUGCUUUGGAAACUGCCAUGCUGGAGUGCUGGAGAGGUAAGCGGAAUUCCUAGUGUAGCGGUGAAAUGCGUAGAUAUUAGGAGGAACACCAGUGGCGAAGGCGGCUUACUGGACAGUAACUGACGUUGAGGCUCGAAAGCGUGGGGAGCAAACAGGAUUAGAUACCC
rnacentral:rRNA from 1 species